ACCAAAAUGCUAGCUAAAACAAAAAAAUUUCAUCAAACAAACCAAAACAUUUAAAAAUCCUAGUAUAGGCGAUAGAAAAGAUUAUUUAAGCAAUAGAAAAAGUACCGCAAGGGAAAGCUGAAAAAGAAAUGAAAUAAUACAUAAAAGUAAAAAACAGCAAGAACUAAUCCCUGUACCUUUUGCAUCAUGGUCUAGUCAGAUCACCGUAGCAAAAAGACCUUAAGUUUACUUUCCCCGAAACCAGACGAGCUAUUUAAAAGCAGCAAAGCAAAUCCGUCUCUGUGGCAAAAGAGUGGAAAGACUUUUAAAUAGAGGUGACAUGCCUAUCAAGCCUGGUGAUAGCUGGUUACUCACUAAACGAGUUUAAGCUCCACCUUAAAUCUUAUUACAAUAACAAUAAUAAAAAUUAAAAUUUAAGAACCAUUCGUAAGAGGAACAGCCCAUACGAAACAGGAUACAACCUAAAAUUAUGGGUAAUGAUUAUAAUUACUAAAGAUUACUGAUUUUAGUGGGCCUAAAAGCAGCCAACUAAAUAAAUAGCGUCAAAGCUUAACCUACAAACUCAUCAACAAUCCCAAUAUAAAAUCAUACCCCACAAUAAACAAUGAGUCAACUAUAAAUAAUAUAGAUAUAUUAAUUCUAGAACUAGUAAUAAGAAAAUAUGAUUUUCUCUAUAACUCUAGUGUAUGUCAGACCAAACCAAUUACUGAUUAUUAAUAAUAACUGGUAAAUAAAAAUUAACAAGAAUUUUUCCAAACAACUAACCGUUAACCCAACACAGGAAAUUUAAUAGAAAGAUACAAAAAUAAGAAAGGAACUCGGCAAACAAAAGUUCCGCCUGUUUACCAAAAACAUCGCCUCUAGAUACACAUGCAUUAGAGGUAAUGCCUGCCCAGUGAUUAUUAAACGGCCGCGGUAUCCUGACCGUGCAAAGGUAGCAUAAUAACUUGUCAUUUAAAUAAUGACUAGAAUGAAUGGCAAAACGAGAACUUAACUGUCUCCCUUAUUUAAUCAAUAAAACUGAUCUACUUGUACAAAAGCAAGAAUAUUAAUACAAGACGAGAAGACCCUAUGGAGCUUUAAACCCAUUAUUAACUAUAAUAACAACAAUUAUAACUUAACUAAUUGUUUUAGGUUGGGGCGACCACGGAGCACAAAAAACCUCCGAGAAAACAACUUAGAAAACAAACCAAAGUAAAAAACAUUUAAACAAUUGACCCAAUAAAAUUGAUCAACGAACCAAGUUACCCUAGGGAUAACAGCGCAAUCUUCUCUAAGAGUUCAUAUCGACGAGAAGGCUUACGACCUCGAUGUUGGAUCAGGAUACCCAAACAGUGCAGCCGCUGUAAAAGGUUUGUUUGUUCAACAAAUAAUAUCCUACGUGAUCUGAGUUCAGACCGGAGUAAUCCAGGUCAGUUUCUAUCUAUAAAAUCAUUUUUUACAGUACGAAAGGACCUAAAAAAUAGAGCCAAUAUAAUUUACAUGCUCUUUAUAACAUUAUGAAAUUAACUCAACAAUAAAUAUACUUCACCCUUAAACUAAGGAACA
rnacentral:rRNA from 1 species